rnacentral:rRNA from 1 species
GAUGAACGCUAGCGGGAGGCUUAACACAUGCAAGUCGAGGGGUAUGGCAGCAAUGCCAGAGACCGGCGCACGGGUGAGUAACGCGUAUGCAACCUACCCUUUACAGGGGGAUAGCCCGUCGAAAGGCGGAUUAAUACCCCAUGGUACUAUUUUGCCGCAUGGCAGGAUGGUUAAAGUUCCAACGGUAAGGGAUGGGCAUGCGUGACAUUAGAUUGUUGGCGGGGUAACGGCCCACCAAGUCAGCGAUGUCUAGGGGUUCUGAGAGGAUGAUCCCCCACACUGGUACUGAGACACGGACCAGACUCCUACGGGAGGCAGCAGUGAGGAAUAUUGGUCAAUGGGCGCAAGCCUGAACCAGCCAUCCCGCGUGAAGGAUGAAUGCCCUAUGGGUUGUAAACUUCUUUUAUGUACCAAGAAUGGGCCCCACGUGUGGGGUUUUGACGGUAGUGCAUGAAUAAGCAUCGGCUAACUCCGUGCCAGCAGCCGCGGUAAUACGGAGGAUGCGAGCGUUAUCCGGAUUCAUUGGGUUUAAAGGGUGCGUAGGCGG